rnacentral:lncRNA from 10 species
CACUAACAAAAACUCCAAUGGAUCCCAAUUUGCUAGAAAAUAAAGCCCCUAAUCCAAAAUGCAAUCUCCUCUUUUACAAUUUGAUGUCAAAUUUAUCGUCUUUCUAGGCCCAUUUCCUGCUUGUUUCCUCUACACAAAUCUUUAGCACUGGUUAACAACUGGAAAUAUGAAUAGAAGCUCUUGGCCCUUCAACUGUGCUGAGAUGACAAAACUGAACUCAAUAAGAUUGAGUAUAGAAGUAGCCCAAAGUCACCCAACUGAUAUAUGUCAGAUUGUGAAGAAAAAGUGGAAAAAAAGAAGCAUGUGUAUCGGAGAUACUGAACAGAGAAUAGAGUGGGUGGAGUAAGCCUACUUUCUUCAAAAGAAGCAAUUUUACAUGGUGUGUAAAACCGACCUUGGACAAGAAAUGGAACACAAAGAUAAAUCAUUUGUGGUGAAUUUAAACAUGAAUCCGUGGAGCUCCUCCUUUUCUGAAAUCCUCCAUUUCUUUUAAAACAUUCUGGUAAUAAAUUGCUGUGAGUUUUUGCCAUAUCCUAUGUCCUUACUCACUGGGAACAAUUGAUGCUUGGAACCCAUUCAACGAUGGUUACAUAGAUUUGUGAAAACAGGAGCCGGCUCAGCUUUCCUUUAAGAGUUGUUUAGUGAAGUUAUGCUCAUUGACUUUUUACUCUUAUUAUUAAAAUUCCUCAUUAAACCUGCCUGAAAA